GUGAUGGAAAGGCUGAGAAGGGCAGUUUGGGCAGAACAGUGAGCAGGGAGCAAUGCACAGAUGGGCACAAUAGGAUUCAAGAAGUCAGGAAAUGUGCAGCAAUGGAAGGCUUAUGGAGGACUGGCCUCCUUGACUAAGACAAAAUGCUAUAUUCUGCAAGUUUUUGCAGUUUAUUCAUUUACUGAUCCAGCUACUAUUUAUUGGAAGGUGACUCUACACUGAGUACUAGGCAGUGAGCUCCUUCCGGACCAGCCCCUGGUCUUGCUCAUCCUGUGGACACAGCACAUCUGAGAAGGGCUGUGAUUGUGCUGCUCCUAUCACACUAGCUGCUGCUGGGAUGCUUCACUGCCUCUCUGAGUUCAAGGAUGGGAGUCUCUCUAUGUUCGCCAAGGUUGGUCUUGAACUCCUGGCUUCAAGCAAUCCUCCUGCCUAGGACUUUCAAGGUAAACUAUUAAGAAGGUGCCUUGCUUGACCUUUGCCAUCUGCCAUGAUUGUAAGUUUCCUGAGGCCUCCCUAGCCAUGCUGAACUGUGAGUCAAUUAAACCUCUUUCCUUUAUUUAUUUAUUUUUUUUGUGUUUCACACAGACCUUAUUUGUUAAGCAGAGUUUAUUGUAUUUAAUCCAUUAUAAAAUUUGAAAAAUUGUAGGAAAGCAGCAGACUUGAAUUGAGCAAUUCUAACAAGGAAUAAUUCUGGCCCCAUGGCAAAACUGAUCAGUUUUAAAACAAAGUAAAGUUCACAUCGGUUAGGGGGACAAAAAAAUGACACUGCUGUACAAACUUCAUUUAAAAUUACAUGUCUAACAUGUUUGAAAUGCAGUGUGCUCAUGAGGGUUUUUCUGAAGUCUUGCCUGGUCUCUGCUUAAAGAGAGACACGGAGCCUCCAUAUACAAAGAAACUCGAUUCAAGGUGUGUCUGUGUUUUUUUUAAAAAAGGAAAAAGACAAAGGAAAAAGAGAUAAUGGAUGGCUGUUGGCA
rnacentral:lncRNA from 10 species